rnacentral:hammerhead_ribozyme from 1 species
GCACUGCUGAGGAGUUCCACAAUAGGGCGAAACGGCCAUCCAGUGC